AUAGCCUAGAGGUGGUUGUUUGAGGCUGAAGCUAGGGAGGCUUUCUUGGUGUAGACUAAGGUCUAGGAGGUGAGAUACAACUGAUCAGGAUACCCAUUUAAGACUCGAGCUAAUGUAUGGCUGCAUGUAGAAUCUCGAAAAUGCCCUACUGAGAGAUAAUGACAUUGUUGAUCUUCCUACUGACCCAUGCCGCCUCUCGUGCCAACAUAGAAAAUAGUCUCCACAUUCUCGGAUCUCUAACUCUAAGCACACUCCAAAACCUCAAUCCUCUG
rnacentral:lncRNA from 1 species